UACGUAGGGUGCAAGCGUUAAUCGGAAUUACUGGGCGUAAAGCGUGCGCAGGCGGUUUUGUAAGUCUGUCGUGAAAUCCCCGGGCUCAACCUGGGAAUGGCGAUGGAGACUGCAAGGCUAGAAUCUGGCAGAGGGGGGUAGAAUUCCACGUGUAGCAGUGAAAUGCGUAGAGAUGUGGAGGAACACCGAUGGCGAAGGCAGCCCCCUGGGUCAAGAUUGACGCUCAUGCACGAAAGCGUGGGGAGAAAACAGG
rnacentral:rRNA from 1 species